rnacentral:rRNA from 1 species
UGCACCUACGGGAGGCAGCAGUGGGGGAUAUUGCACAAUGGGGGAAACCCUGAUGCAGCGACGCCGCGUGAGUGAAGAAGUAUUUCGGUACGUAAAGCUCUAUCAGCAGGGAAGAAUAAUGACGGUACCUGACUAAGAAGCCCCGGCUAACUACGUGCCAGCAGCCGCGGUAAUACGUAGGGGGCGAGCGUUAUCCGGAUUCACUGGGUGUAAAGGGAGCGUAGACGGCCGUGCAAGCCAGGAGUGAAAGCCCGGGGCCCAA